rnacentral:rRNA from 1 species
CAUAAUGUCAUUUAUUUGAUGUUGUGGGGAAUUAGGACUGUUACCUUGAAAAAAUUAGAGUGUUUAAAGCAGGCUAACGCUUGAAUACAUUAGCAUGGAAUAAUGAAAUAGGACAUCCCAUUCUAUUUUGUUGGUUUCUAGGAUCGAUGUAAUGAUUAAUAGGGAUAGUUGGGGGCAUUAGUAUUCAAUUGUCAGAGGUGAAAUUCUUGGAUUUAUUGAAGACUAACUACUGCGAAAGCAUUUGCCAAGGAUGUUUUCAUUAAUCAAGAACGAAAGUUAGGGGAUCGAAGACGAUCAGAUACCGUCGUAGUCUUAACCAUAAACUAUGCCGACUAGGGAUCGGAUGAUGCUNAUUUUUUAAUGACUCAUUCGGCACCUUACGGGAAACCAAAGUGUUUGGGUUCCGGGGGGAGUAUGGUCGCAAGGCUGAAACUUAAAGGAAUCGACGGAAGGGCACCACCAGGGGUGGAGCCUGCG